UUUAGGUACAGGACCCAGGUCAGCAAUCAUUCAGCGUUUAUAACUUCUUCGUAUUAACUGUAAAGCUCAACAUCAUUCUUUACAUUAAGAUACUGGAUCCAGGUCAGCAAUCAUUCAGCGUUUCUAACUUCUUCCUAUUAGCAGUAAAGCUCAACAUCAUUCUUUACAUCAAGAUAUAUCAACUGAUCAGCAAUGGAUAAAUAUAAUUUGGAAAAUGGGAAACAAAUUUUCGAAGAAUACUGCUCAUCGGCUGGAAACCAGCCCACAAUGCUUCCAAGAGCACCAGAGCAGGCCUACAUAGACAAAUAUCCGGAUGAAUAUCAGCCUGGUACCAGCUUUAGAGAUGAAAGACUCUUUCAGUAUAUCUACGAGGCUGAAGUCAAAAUGUAUAGGUUUUUAGAAUUAGGGUUAGAUGGAAACUCUAUUGUUCUCCACAGCUUUAGAUACACACACGAUCAGUAUUGUCUGUGUGAUAAAAGUCAUGUUAGGAACAAAAAAACGUGUAACAAGUGCAAGAAUCCGUUUAACACGGAAGGCGAAUGCGAUUUUAUCAUCAUUUGUGCGGACAUUUUCAUUGUUAUCGAGGUAAAGGACAUUAAUAAUAUUGAUGGAGAGUGUACGACUAGUAAAUUGCAGGAUUUGAUUGGUACGUACAGGAAGUCAGCUAUGCAGAGAAACAAGGUAGUGGAACUGAUCAAAUGUAUUGACAAGGAUGCUAAAAUUCUUCAGUUCACAGCGUACCCUAAUCUCAGUAGACGGUUUAAAGACCAGUUCCAAUUUAGUGAGAUGACAGAACUCCGGUUAAGUGAUGAUGAACUGUCGACUAUCAUAUUUGAAGAAGAUUUAUCCACUUUUAAUGCUUGGUGGGAAGACAAUGUAUCUGUGGCCAUAUCAUCCGUCAGAAGAGUUCCUGAAGAAACGGUUAUAUCGAGUACAGAAAUGCCAAUAUCUGGAUACAAUCAGAAUUCUCAUGAGAAAGCAAGGAACAUUUUACUAGCCAUAUGGGCCACAGACAGAAAAACAUGUGAUAAAUCCAAGUGCAGUUUAGCACGAUGUAUUUUGGAUAUCAACGAACAACUUAAGGAAGGUCGCAUUACUUUCGAGCCUAAAAGAGGAAAUAGACGUGACCAAAAUCCCGGUGUUGUAAAAGCUCCUGAUGUCAUAAGCAAAUAUGCUGGAAUUUUAAACCUCACUAUAGAACAAAGUGUAGUUUUCAAAAGAGACGAAAACCUGCAAUGGAUAAAUGGACCUGCGGAGGCAGGUAGAACUGUAAUAUUAUGUGGUAAAAUGUUACAACUUAUACAAUCUGACGCGAAUAAUAAAGUUGUGUUAUUUAAAUACAAUGGAGAGGGCAACAACUCUCAACAUUAUCAGAGUGCAUUGAAAAAUUGUAGUGUAGAAUACGAGGUGAUUAACUAUCGCAAUUUUGAUGAUCGAGUAGCAGAGAGCAACCGUCCAGUUAUCAUAGUCGAGAUAACACGUUAUCUUCAUGUGCAACAAUUGAUUGAACGACUCAGUGGAGUUAGUGACCGUCAUUUGUUUUUGGACGAUGUACAGGUGACUUGGUACCGUAGCACAGCUGAAGAGUGUACUGAUCUAAUAGAUUUGUUGUUAGAGUUGUCGUCAAAUAAAUGUGUAUGGAUAGGGUGUGACUUUGCACAGGCUUGGGUAUUUCUAGGCCCAAAGUAUACUAUAGAUUUCGCUAAUGUACUGGUUCGCAAACUAUCGACUAGUCAGCGAGCAAAUUUAUCGAGAAGUCUUACAAUUAGCAGUGAUUUGUACGAUAUUUUAUAUGUGAUAAGAGAUACAUUUAAUAGACUGUCUAGGCUAUCUUCUGACUCUGAGAGAUUUGAUGAUGUUCUUUUGGAAAUUGUAUCACCCGACCUCGCACAAGGGCAUUUUAUUCAUGGGCCAAUACCCGUCAUACAUGCUUUCAAUAACUAUGAUAUAGGACCGAUUGGUCAUGCAUUUUGUAAUGAAUUAGAUGAAAUGUGUAAUAAUGACGAAAUGAAUUAUUAUGACAUGGGUAUCGUUUACAAUGAUGACAGGAGAGAUAUAAGAAUGUUAAUUAAAGACGUUGUUUCUAUACGAUGUAUUAACUCUGAAUAUAAGAUAGCAAUUUGCCACAGUAGGAAGAGUUUUUCUGCUGAGUAGCCAGCAGUAAUUGUAUUGCACAAAGUGUGCAGGUACAUUGAGAAAGACUUGAUCACACUUCAAUUAGAAAUAUCCAGAGCCCGUGUUUACUGCUCUGUUCUUUUAUACCCAGAGAAGGGUAAAGAUUUAGGCGAUUAUGGACAUAUUUCAGAUAUUUUAGAUAAUCUGAAGGGUCGUGCACGCAUUUUAAAAUAUUGAAUUUGCAGUUCGCACUGCUUUUGAAGAUGUUUCAUAAAAUGAUAAAUAUAUGGCAUGGAUUUUUCUGAACGAUCUUCUUUUAUAGAUCACAAAACAUAUUUUAUAAGGUCAAACAUCAAUGGAGCGUUCCUUAAUAAUAUUUAUCAGUGUUUACUGCUCUGUUCUUACUUCUUUUAUACCCAGAGAAGGGUAAAGAUUUAUACGAUUAUGGACAUAUGGGGUCGUUCACAUAUUACGUAAUCACUGAGCGGGAGGGGGGCUUUUAAAUGAUUAC